UGAAAUACAUUCCAGUCAGUGAUUGAUUAGUUUGAAUUAACGAUUGAAAACUUGAAUGAUUUGUUGUUUGCGUGAAGCCAGACAUUUGACGUGAUUUAAUAUGCUGCAUGAGACCAGAAAAAUCGUUUGGUCUAGCGAUUAGGUUUUUAAUUAUUCUCUUUGCGAUGGUUGGGAUGCGUGGAUGAUUGGAAGGUACUACCUAGAAAAAGCUAUUCAAUUAGUCAAACCGUAUUUGAGAGGCCGUACCGCCUAAGGACAUCAGCAAUAAUGUUUUAUUCUGGAGGUCUUCUCGUCUAUUCUUGUAAUGUCUAUUUUGGUGGCACAUUGUAGACAUGGUAAAGACAAUAUUGGGUAUUAUAAAAUCGAUAAGAAAUCAGUUUUCCUGGGUCUGUUACCUUAAGGGAAGAAAAAUAAAAAUAAAUUUAUGGUAAAGAACUGGGAAAAUGAAACAACAGUUACAAGCGACCACGAAGACGACGACGAAGACAGCAACGAAAGCAGAAGCAGCAAACAACUGAACCAAAAGAGCAGAAGCAAAAAGCAACAACAGCAACAACUUCACCAAAAACAAUACAUCUGGUGGCAUUAAUAAUAACAACUGCACUAUAGCAACAACAUGACAACAGCAACAAUAACGAUAACAGCGGAAGCAACAAAACCAAUACUGAACGACAGCAGAUAGCAACAGCAACAAUAACAAGAGGAACAACAACGAUAACGACAAAAUUAACCGGAGCAGCAACAACGUCUACAACAAAAACAAAAACCAAUAAAUCAAAAAACUAUUAAAACUUUGCUCACUUUGAUUUCAUUCAGAAGGUCUUUAAAUAUGGACUGGUUAUUGAUAAAAGCUUCGAAAUAAACUUUAUGAAUAACAAAUCGAUCCUAAAAGUUAAAAUGGCAAAGAAAAACAAAAUUAUUAGACUUAGAAAUUUCACACUUCGUAUUAAAUUUCCCCCAUUAUUCACUAAGUUUGUGUACUUCUCUUGUGGAUCCAGAGAUGUCCAA